rnacentral:rRNA from 1 species
CAGGCCUAACACAUGCAAGUCGAGCGAACAGAAGGGAGCUUGCUCCCGGAUGUUAGCGGCGGACGGGUGAGUAACACGUGGGUAACCUGCCUGUAAGACUGGGAUAACUCCGGGAAACCGGAGCUAAUACCGGAUAGUUCCUUGAACCGCAUGGUUCAAGGAUGAAAGACGGUUUCGGCUGUCACUUACAGAUGGACCCGCGGCGCAUUAGCUAGUUGGUGGGGUAAUGGCUCACCAAGGCGACGAUGCGUAGCCGACCUGAGAGGGUGAUCGGCCACACUGGGACUGAGACACGGCCCAGACUCCUACGGGAGGCAGCAGUAGGGAAUCUUCCGCAAUGGACGAAAGUCUGACGCAGCAACGCCGCGUGAGUGAUGAAGGUUUUCGGAUCGUAAAGCUCUGUUGUUAGGGAAGAACA